AGGAUGAACGCUGGCGGCGUGCUUAAUACAUGCAAGUCGAGCGGUAAGGCUUUCACAGUUUGCUUAAACGUUUUAAUCCCAAAUCUAGGCUAGAGGAGGGCAGUUUGAGCAAUGUGUGAAAGUACACGAGCGGCGGACGGGUGAGUAACGCGUAAGAAUGUACCCAAAGUGAGGGAUAAGUUCCGGGAAACCGGGACUAAUACCGCAUGUGCUCGUUCGGAGUAAAGUCUUUAUGCGCUUUGGGAACAGCUUGCGUCUGAUUAG
rnacentral:rRNA from 1 species